GACAUAAUUAGAUUCGGUUAUUGAUUAUUUUAAUUUCAAACUAACUUCUGUGUU
rnacentral:sRNA from 1 species